rnacentral:rRNA from 1 species
UAUGGCCAUACCACCCUGAACGUGCCUGAUCUCGUCUGAUCUCGGAAGCUAAGCAGGGUUGGGCCUGGGAUGGGAAAGCCCUCAGUAGAAGCCAAAU